CCAGUAGUCAUAUGCUUGUCUCAAAGAUUAAGCCAUGCAUGUCUCAGUGCAAGMCRARYUAAGGUGAAACCGCGAAUGGCUCAUUAAAUCAGUUAUGGUUCCUURGAYCKUACCASUUUACUUGGAUAACUGUGGUAAUUCUAGAGCUAAUACAUGCAAWCRSAGUCCCGACCRGAAWYGGRAGGGACGCUUUUAUUAGAUCAAAAYCAAUCGGYCGGCUCGYCCGGUCGUUCYGYYUUGGUGACUCUGRAUAACUUUGGGCUGAUCGCACGGUCYYCGYACCGGCGACGYAYCYUUCAAAUGUCUGCCUUAUCAACUKWCGAUGGUAGGYUCUGCGCCUACCAUGGUKRUAACGGGURACGGGGAAUCAGGGUUCGAUUCCGGAGAGGGAGCCUGAGAAACGGCUACCACAUCCAAGGAAGGCAGCAGGCGCGCAAAUUACCCACUCCCGGCACGGGGAGGUAGUGACGAAAAAUAACGAUACGGGACUCAUCCGAGGCCCCGUAAUCGGAAUGAGAACACUUUAAAUCCUUUAACGAGUAUCCAUURGAGGGCAAGUCUGGUGCCAGCAGCCGCGGUAAUUCCAGCUCCAAUAGCGUAUAUUAAAGUUGUUGCGGUUAAAAAGCUCGUAGUUGGAUUUGUGUCCCACGCUGUCGGUCAUCGCUCGUCGGUGCUAACUGGCAUGUUCGUGGACGUCCUGCCGGUGGUGGCGAGUCGAAAGCGUUGCGGCCGCCAAGCUGAAACUUAAAGGAAUUGACGGAAGGGCACCACAAGAAGUGGGGCUUGCGGCUUAAUUUGACUCAACGCGGGGAAACUCAUCAGGCCAGGACACUGGAAGGAUUGACAGAUUGAGAGCUCUUUCUUGAUUCGGUGGGCGGUGGUGCAUGGCCGUUUUUAGUUGGUGGAGCGAUUUGUCUGGUUAAUUCCGAUAACGAACGAGACCCUGGCCUGCUAACUAGUCGAUACCGGCAUCCUUGGCGCAGCCGGCGACCUCACAUCUUCUUAGAGGGACAGGCGGCUUCUAGCCGCACGAAAUUGGGCAAAAACAGGUCUGUGAUGCCCUUAGAUGUUCUGAGCAGCACGCGUGCCACACUGAAGGUAGCAACGUGUGUUUUCCUUGGCCGAGAGGUCCGGGUAACCCGUUGAAUGUCCUUCGUGCUAGGGAUUGGGGCUUGCAAUUAUUCCCCACGAACGAGGAAUUCCUAGUAAGCGGGAAUCAUUACUUCCCGUUGAUUAUGUCCCUGCCCUUUGUCCACACCGCCCGUCGCUACUACCGAUUGAAUGAUUUAGUGAGGUCUUCGGACCGGUGCGCGGCCUCUUCGCGAUGCCGCUGCGUCUGGAAAGAUGACCAAACUUGAUUAUUUAGAGGAAGUAAAAGUCGUAACAAGGUU
rnacentral:rRNA from 1 species